CGUCGAGCGGCGGACGGGUGAGUAAUGCCUAGGAAAUUGCCCUGAUGUGGGGGAUAACCAUUGGAAACGAUGGCUAAUACCGCAUGAUGCCUACGGGCCAAAGAGGGGGACCUUCGGGCCUCUCGCGUCAGGAUAUGCCUAGGUGGGAUUAGCUAGUUGGUGAGGUAAGGGCUCACCAAGGCGACGAUCCCUAGCUGGUCUGAGAGGAUGAUCAGCCACACUGGAACUGAGACACGGUCCAGACUCCUACGGGAGGCAGCAGUGGGGAAUAUUGCACAAUGGGCGCAAGCCUGAUGCAGCCAUGCCGCGUGUGUGAAGAAGGCCUUCGGGUUGUAAAGCACUUUCAGUCGUGAGGAAGGUGGUGUAGUUAAUAGCUGCAUUAUUUGACGUUAGCGACAGAAGAAGCACCGGCUAACUCCGUGCCAGCAGCCGCGGUAAUACGGAGGGUGCGAGCGUUAAUCGGAAUUACUGGGCGUAAAGCGCAUGCAGGUGGUUUGUUAAGUCAGAUGUGAAAGCCCGGGGCUCAACCUCGGAAUAGCAUUUGAAACUGGCAGACUAGAGUACUGUAGAGGGGGGUAGAAUUUCAGGUGUAGCGGUGAAAUGCGUAGAGAUCUGAAGGAAUACCGGUGGCGAAGGCGGCCCCCUGGACAGAUACUGACACUCAGAUGCGAAAGCGUGGGGAGCAAACAGGAUUAGAUACCCUGGUAGUCCACGCCGUAAACGAUGUCUACUUGGAGGUUGUGGCCUUGAGCCGUGGCUUUCGGAGCUAACGCGUUAAGUAGACCGCCUGGGGAGUACGGUCGCAAGAUUAAAACUCAAAUGAAUUGACGGGGGCCCGCACAAGCGGUGGAGCAUGUGGUUUAAUUCGAUGCAACGCGAAGAACCUUACCUACUCUUGACAUCCAGAGAACUUUCCAGAGAUGGAUUGGUGCCUUCGGGAACUCUGAGACAGGUGCUGCAUGGCUGUCGUCAGCUCGUGUUGUGAAAUGUUGGGUUAAGUCCCGCAACGAGCGCAACCCUUAUCCUUGUUUGCCAGCGAGUAAUGUCGGGAACUCCAGGGAGACUGCCGGUGAUAAACCGGAGGAAGGUGGGGACGACGUCAAGUCAUCAUGGCCCUUACGAGUAGGGCUACACACGUGCUACAAUGGCGCAUACAGAGGGCGGCCAACUUGCGAAAGUGAGCGAAUCCCAAAAAGUGCGUCGUAGUCCGGAUUGGAGUCUGCAACUCGACUCCAUGAAGUCGGAAUCGCUAGUAAUCGUGGAUCAGAAUGCCACGGUGAAUACGUUCCCGGGCCUUGUACACACCGCCCGUCACACCAUGGGAGUGGGCUGC
rnacentral:rRNA from 1 species